GAUGAACGCUGCCGCCUUGCCAAUACAUUCCAAGCGGAGGGAACGACCGGGAGGUUGCCUUCCCUGUGUUUACCGCGGGACGGGGGGUUAAAACUUGGAUAACUACCUUAUAGGACGGGGAAACCUUCGGAAAACGGGAGUUAAUACCGAAUAAUAUUUUAAACCGCUUGUUUCAAAGGUAAAAGAGGGUCUUCCGGUCACUAAUAGAUGAAUCCGCGCUGCAUUAGCUAGUUGGUAAGGUAACGGCUUACCAAGGCAACGAUGCAUAGCCGACCUGAGAGGGUGAUCGGCCACACUGGAACUGAGACACGGUCCAGACUCCUACGGGAGGCAGCAGUAGGGAAUCUUCCGCAAUGGGCGAAAGCCUGACGGAGCAACGCCGCGUGAGUGAUGAAGGUCUUCGGAUCGUAAAACUCUGUUAUUAGGGAAGAACAUAUGUGUAAGUAACUGUGCACAUCUUGACGGUACCUAAUCAGAAAGCCACGGCUAACUACGUG
rnacentral:rRNA from 1 species